GGUCGCGUGGCCGAGUGGUUAGGUAGAGGUCUGCAAAACCUCUUACGGUGGUUCGAACCCACUCGCGACCU
rnacentral:tRNA from 1 species